UACGAAGGGGGCUAGCGUUGUUCGGAAUUACUGGGCGUAAAGCGCGCGCAGGCGGUCUUCCAAGUCAGUGGUGAAAGCCUGGAGCUCAACUCCAGAACUGCCAUUGAAACUGUUAGACUUGAGUACGAGAGAGGUGAGUGGAAUUCCCAGUGUAGAGGUGAAAUUCGUAGAUAUUGGGAAGAACACCGGUGGCGAAGGCGGCUCACUGGCUCAUUACUGACGCUCAGGCGCGACAGCGUGGGGAUCAAACAGG
rnacentral:rRNA from 1 species